GAGGGGUUAGUUAAAUUAUAACAUUGUCUUGUCAAGACAAUAUUACUAGUUAGAAUCUUGUAUCUCUCU
rnacentral:tRNA from 1 species